UAAGACAGAGGUGCCGAGCGUUAGGCGGAAUCACUGGGCUUAAAGCGUGUGUAGGCGGACGGGUAAGUACCUUGUGAAAUCCCACGGCUCAACCGUGGAACGGCUGGGUAUACUGCCCGUCUUGAGCCACUUAGGGGCCGUCGGAACAAAUGGUGGAGCGGUGAAAUGCGUAGAUAUCAUUUGGAACGCCAAAGGUGAAAACAGACGGCUGGGAGUGUGCUGACGCUGAGACACGAAAGCCAGGGGAGCGAACGGGAUUAGAUACCCCGGUAGUCCUGGCCCUAAACGAUGUCGACUAGGUCAUGGCGGCUCUGACGCCGUCAUGGCCGAAGCAAAAGUGCUAAGUCGACCGCCUGGGAAGUACGGUCGCAAGGCUA
rnacentral:rRNA from 1 species